rfam:Hespellia stercorisuis DSM 15480 genome assembly, contig: EJ65DRAFT_scaffold00082.82
AUAAUGAUACGUCCGCAUGGUGCGGUUAGCCCACAAGAAUGGGAAUGGUUGAGAUACCAAUGG